CCCUUAGAUGUUCUGGGCCGCACGCGCGCUACACUGACGAAGUCAGCGAGCAUGUCCUACGCCGACAGGUGCGGGGAAUCUUGUCAAACUUCGUCGUGAUGGGGAUUGAUUUUUGAAAUUCUUGAUCAUAAACGAGGAAUUCCUAGUAAGCGCAAGUCAACAGCUUGCGUUGAUUACGUCCCUGCCCUUUGUACACACCGCCCGUCGCUACUACCGAUUGAAUGGUUUAGUGAGAUCUUCGGAUUGGCGCCACUGCAGCUCAGCAAUGGGCUUGGUGGAUGCCGAAAAGUUGAUCAAACUUGAUCAUUUAGAGGAAGUAAAAGUCGUAACA
rnacentral:rRNA from 1 species